rnacentral:rRNA from 1 species
CUUGCUAAAAUAUAAGAGGUCCAGCCUGCCCAGUGACCCAGUUCAACGGCCGCGGUAUCCUGACCGCGCGAAGGUAGCGUAAUCACUUGUUCUUUAAAUGGGGACUAGUAUGAAUGGCAUCACGAGGGUUGAACUGUCUCCUUUCUCUAAUCAGUGAAACUAAUCUCCCCGUGAAGAAGCGGGAAUCAUUUUAUAAGACGAGAAGACCCUAUGGAGCUUAAAACAAAUUGACAUCUGCUUCCGCCUACUUCAAUUCCUGAACAAACAUACAAAAUAUAGCAUAAUUGAUCAAUAGUUUUAGAUUGGGGUGAUCAUGGAGCAAAAAACAACCUCCACGACGAAAAGGAAUAUCCCCUGAGCCAAAAGCCACAACUUUAAGCACUAAAAAAUUAACGCAUCUUGACCCAAUUUUUUGAGCAACGAACCAAGUUACCCUAGGGAUAACAGCGCAAUCCACUUCAAGAGCUCCUAUCGACAAGUGGGCUUACGACCUCGAUGUUGGAUCA